GGGCCCGCACAAGCGGUGGAUUAUGUGGAUUAAUUCGAUGCAACGCGAAGAACCUUACCUGGCCUUGACAUGUACCGAAUUUAGCAGAGAUGCUUUAGUGCUCGUAAGAGAACGGUAACACAGGUGCUGCAUGGCUGUCGUCAGCUCGUGUCGUGAGAUGUUGGGUUAAGUCCCGCAACGAGCGCAACCCUUGCCAUUAAUUGCCAUCAUUUAGUUGGGCACUUUAAUGGGACUGCCGGUGACAAACCGGAGGAAGGUGGGGAUGACGUCAAGUCCUCAUGGCCCUUAUGGCCAGGGCUUCACACGUAAUACAAUGGAUGGUACAGAGGGAUGCCAACCCGCGAGGGGAGCCAAUCCCAGAAAGCCAUUCGUAGUCCGGAUUGUUGUCUGCAACUCGACAACAUGAAGUCGGAAUCGCUAGUAA
rnacentral:rRNA from 1 species